UUUCCAGAAAACCACACCUUUCCUGAAUCCGAAUUAAUUUUUGACUACUCCUAUAAUACAGGACAUGUCUGGAAAAUGAGUAAAUCUUUGUACUUUAUUUUUGGGCUAAGUCAACCAUAAACCUGGCAGAAUCUGACUUGUCUGAGCAGUGUCCACCAAACUGUGUCUUCUAACCCAGGUGAGAUGUGAACCCAGGUUUACUCCAGCAGAACCAGAGAAGCAGGUAUCAUCUUGUGGGCGAGAUUGCAUGCAUCAACAGCCAAGUCCUUAGCAGAUGAAUGGAAACCACAAAAUUAAAGGUGUUGGCACAAAGGCCUACACUACAAGAGCUGAUCCAGGAAUGACAUUCUCUAAACAUUUUCAGACAAGUUAGGAACACAAAUAAGACCAGCUCUGGGAUGACCCCAUUUGUGUGACUACCACCAACAGUACAGUGUCCCCGAAAGUUUCAACUCUUCUUCUGGAGGCUGGCCUACAGAGUAGCAGCAUCUGUCUCUCCUCUCUCUGGCCAACUAAGAAUAACAAAGAAGAUCACCUGAGGGCACAACAAGACAAGACUCAGAAUACUUUGGCUCCAGAGACCCACUGCCCUGCCGACAUCCCGAGAACCAGCUGCUCUUUGGAUAUGGGGAACUGGACCUGGGCCCACUCUGUGUUGGGCUCAGUGUCCCCAUCCAUUCAGGUCCUACUCAGGUGACUCUAAAUCCCUAGACCCAUGAUCAGGCCUGGAUCCAGGACCACAGGAAUGCCCCCACCCUGGAUCUCACAUGACUCCCACAUGACCUCAUAUCACGCCCUCCCUGCUGGCCCCUACCACUCCCACCUCGCCAGCCCCCACCACCCCCUCCCAGCCAUGCAAUGACCAAAGUGUCAAUUACUUUCAAGCCUAAUCACAAUGUAGUCUAGUCAAAUCUCAACAUCAUUAUCUCAAAAAGAAAAGGACUCUGGGGAAAGAAGGUGGGGAGGGAGGGGUUGGGGUGGGGGCUUUGGGGUCCUGGAGCAGGAUGGUGGAAAAAGGACUCAAGGUGGAGGUGAGAGCGGUCUGCAGAUACCUGUCAUGGGGAGAUGAGAAAUUAUCCUCAUGUGUCAACACCUGUGUUGUAAACAAUUAACCUCCCAAUAAAGUGAGAAAAAAAAUUCUCAAACUCUGACAGUAAAGAUAUUUUUCUCUUUAGUUGUGUUUAUGUGAAACUAGCAAACAAUUUAACUGCUUCAAAGUUGGGGCAGGUAUAAGAUAGCAGAUAUACUGAGAUAUAGGCAUUCUUUUUCAAAAAAGCAAUAAAAUGGAAAAUUAAAACAGAA